UACGUAGGGGGCGAGCGUUGUCCGAAGUUACUGGGCGUAAAGCGCGCGUAGGCGGCUUUUUAAGUCUGGGGUGAAAGGUUCAGCGCUCAACGCGAACAGUGCCCUGGAUACUGGGAGGCUUGAGUUCGGGAGGGGGUAGUGGAAUUCCUGGUGUAGCGGUGAAAUGCGUAGAUAUCAGGAGGAACACCGGUGGCGAAGGCGGCUACCUGGCCCAGAACUGACGCUGAGGUGCGAAAGCGUGGGGAGCGAACGGG
rnacentral:rRNA from 1 species